rnacentral:rRNA from 1 species
UCCUGGCUUAGGAUGAACGCUAGCGGCAGGCCUAAUACAUGCAAGUCGGACGGGAUCUCCCCUCGGGGGAGUGAGAGUGGCGCACGGGUGCGUAACGCGUAUGCAACCAACCCUCAUCCGGGGGACAGCCGGUGGAAACGCCGGGUAAUACCCCAUAUCCACUUCGGGAGGCAUCUUCUGAGGUGGAAAGACUUUGGUCGGAGGAGGACGGGCAUGCGUCCCAUUAGCUAGUCGGCGGGGGUGACGGCCCACCGAGGCGACGAUGGGUAGGGGAUCUGAGAGGACGGUCCCCCACACUGGUACUGAGACACGGACCAGACUCCUACGGGAGGCAGCAGUAAGGAAUAUUGGGCAAUGGGGGGAACCCUGACCCAGCCCAUGCCGCGUGAGGGAAGUAGGCCCUACGGGUCGUGAACCUCUUUUGUCCAGGGACAAGGACGGGGUCGGGAACUCCGUUUGAGGGUACUGGAAGAAUAAGCAUCGGCUAACUCCGUGCCAGCCGCCGC